rnacentral:rRNA from 1 species
GACGAACGCUGGCGGCGUGCUUAACACAUGCAAGUCGAACGGAAAGGCCCUGCUUUUGGGGGGUGCUCGAGUGGCGAGCGGGUGAGUAACACGUGAGUAACCUGCCCUUGACUUUGGGAUAACUUAAGGAAACUGGGGCUAAUACCGGAUAGGAGCUUCUGCUGCAUGGUGGGGGAUGGAUAGUGUCGGCGGUUGGGGCUGGAGUCGCGGCUUAUCAGCUUGUUGGUGGGGUAGUGGCAUACCAAGGCUUUGACGGGUAGCCGGCCUGGGAGCGUGACCGGCCACAAUGGGACUGAGGGACGGCCCAGUCUCCAACGGUAGGCAGCAGUGGGGAAUAUUGCACAAUGGGCGGAAGCCUGAUGCAGCGACGCCGCGUGUGGGAUGACGGCCUUCGGGUUGUAAACCGCUUUCUCCUGAGACGAAGCGUUAGUGACGGUAAUGGGUAAAGAAGCACCGGCUAACUACGUG